UUCCUACGGGAGGCAGCAGUGGGGAAUUUUCCGCAAUGGACGAAAGUCUGACGGAGCAACGCCGCGUGAGUGAUGAAGGUUUUCGGAUCGUAAAGCUCUGUUGUUAGGGAAGAACAAGUACCGUUCGAAUAGGGCGGCACCUUGACGGUACCUAACCAGAAAGCCACGGCUAACUACGUGCCAGCAGCCGCGGUAAU
rnacentral:rRNA from 1 species